AUCAAAUUUUGCAACUUUUACCGCUUUCUAAAUAGUUUAACCCCUAAGGAUCCAGGUAUAUCCUGAAUUGUACAUGUAUCACCUAUCAACAUGCAAAUUUUGAACCUAUCUUUAAAGUCUUUUAGCAAAAUACUAAUGUUCAGGAGACAAUUAUCGCUAAAAAAUAACCCAUUGUAUUGUAGAAAUCAUAAUUAGGUACAUGUAUACUAUGGCGCUCAUCAAUUCUCAAUAUUUAAUGCAAAUUCAUGGACAAGUAGAUUUUGGCUCAAAAUGAUCUACAUUUGUU
rnacentral:lncRNA from 1 species